GGGGACCCGCAAGCGGUGGAUGAUGUGGAUUAAUUCGAUGCAACGCGAAAAACCUUACCUACCCUUGACAUGUACGGAAGCCUGGAGAGAUCCGGGUGUGCUCGAAAGAGAGCCGUAACACAGGUGCUGCAUGGCUGUCGUCAGCUCGUGUCGUGAGAUGUUGGGUUAAGUCCCGCAACGAGCGCAACCCUUGUCAUUAGUUGCUACAUUUAGUUGAGCACUCUAAUGAGACUGCCGGUGACAAACCGGAGGAAGGUGGGGAUGACGUCAAGUCCUCAUGGCCCUUAUGGGUAGGGCUUCACACGUCAUACAAUGGUACAUACAGAGGGCCGCCAACCCGCGAGGGGGAGCUAAUCCCAAAAAGUGUAUCGUAGUCCGGAUCGCAGUCUGCAACUCGACUGCGUGAAGUUGGAAUCGCUAGUAAUCGCGGAUCAGCAUGUCGCGGUGAAUACGUUCCCGGGUCUUGUACACACC
rnacentral:rRNA from 1 species